rnacentral:rRNA from 1 species
GAGAACGAGUAGAGUGGCAGACGGGUGAGUAAUGCAUAGGUAAUCUACCUUCGAGUGGGGGAUAACUUAUCGAAAGGUGAGCUAAUCCCGCAUGAUGUGGCGACACAUAAGUGUUGCUAAUAAAGGGGGGGAUCCUUCGGGACCUCUCGCUUGAAGACGAGCCUAUGUCCUAUUAGCUUGUUGGUGGGGUAAUGGCCUACCAAGGUUAUGAUGGGUAGCCGAGCUGAGAGGCUGAUCGGCCACACUGGAACUGAAACACGGUCCAGACUCCUAUGGGAGGCAGCAGUGGGGAAUUUUGCGCAAUGGGCGAAAGCCUGACGCAGCGACGCCGCGUGAGGGAUGAAGGUCCUCGUGAUCGUAAACCUCUGUCAGGAAGGAUUAAAUGUACAGGUGUUAAUACCAUUUGUACUUGACUUAACUUCCAAAGGAAGCUCCGGCUAACUACGUGCCAGCAGCCGCGGUAAUACGUAGGGGGCUAGCGUUACUCGGAUUUAUUGGGCGUAAAGCGAAUGUAGGCGGUUGAAUAAGUCAGUGGUGAAAUCCCUCAGCUUAACUGAGGAAUUGCCAUUGAUACUGUUCGACUUGAGGACAGGAGAGGAAAGUGGAAUUCCCGGUGUAGCGGUGGAAUGCGUAGAUAUCGGGAGGAACACCAGAGGCGAAGGCGGCUUUCUGGACUGAUCCUGACGCUGAGAUUCGAAAGCUAGGGGAGCAAACAGGAUUAGAUACCCUGGUAGUCCUAGCUGUAAACGAUGGAUACUAGAUUUUGCAAAAUAUUGCUUGGUCGAAGCUAACGCGUUAAGUAUCCCGCCUGGGGAGUACGGUCGCAAGGCUGAAACUCAAAUGAAUUGAC